rnacentral:lncRNA from 1 species
CUACAUUGUGUACGUAUAGUUUCACACUUCUCCAAAUUUAACCACAUUUUUGAGUGGGCCAAUUAAAUGAAUAUCUAGAAGUAAGCAAACUGGCCUUUUCUGCGCUUGCAAUAAACAAACAAACAAACAGAUAAUAGUAUGGCUCUCAAACUGGAGUGGAAUUUGGAAGACUAACUUCAUUCAUCCAAAGACACCAGCCCUGGGAGUCCAAUCUCAGCCAUUUUGAUUUCCAGGUGAAUCCCUUAACCUCCUGGAGCUAGGGAUACUGCUGUCUCAAGAAGGGAUUGCAUCAAAAAUGACCUGUAGGACACGGUAACUUUAAAUUCUGCACUUAGAUUUCUGUGUAAAUGUACGCUGCUUCUGACUACUGAACACUCUAUUCUUUCCAAAGUGUCGGAUGAAAGGGUUAGUUCAUGCUGCCAGGUCCUCUUCAUAACACACAUUUCUCUUGGGAAAGGGAGGAAAUAUUUGAUUUUGUUUGUUUGUUUGUUUGUUUUGAUACAGGGUCUCACUAUGUAGUUCAGACUGCUCUGGAACUCACUGUGUAGCCGAGGCUGGUCUCGAACUCACAGCGAUCUUCCUGCCUCAGCCUCUCAAGUGGUGGGAUUACAGGCGUGCACCACCACACCCAGCUGGAAAUAUUUGAUAUUAAGGACAAGGAGAAAACAUACUGAGAGGAAGACAGCAUUUGAAAUUAAGAAUAUACUUGAAUAUUUACACCUGUCUGACUUCUAUCAGAAUGUCAAUUUCUUCCUCUUUAAAAGCAACAACAACAACAACAACAACAACAACAACAAUAAUGAUGAUGAUGAUGAUGAUGAUGAUGAUGAUAAAUGCUUUACAUUGAUCUACCAACAUAGGACUGGGCCAGAUCAUUUAUUUGGAUCAUUUUUAAUAUGAUGAGUAAUACUCUACAUGUGAAGGAAAUUCAGUACACACA